rnacentral:rRNA from 1 species
CAAGUCGAGCGGCAGCGCGGGGCAACCUGGCGGCGAGCGGCGAACGGGUGAGUAAUACAUCGGAACGUACCCAGUCGUGGGGGAUAACGCAUCGAAAGGUGUGCUAAUACCGCAUACGUCCUGAGGGAGAAAGCGGGGGAUCGCAAGACCUCGCGCGAUUGGAGCGGCCGAUGUCUGAUUAGCUAGUUGGUGGGGUAAAGGCCUACCAAGGCGACGAUCAGUAGCUGGUCUGAGAGGACGACCAGCCACACUGGGACUGAGACACGGCCCAGACUCCUACGGGAGGCAGCAGUGGGGAAUUUUGGACAAUGGGCGAAAGCCUGAUCCAGCCAUUCCGCGUGAGUGAAGAAGGCCUUCGGGUUGUAAAGCUCUUUCGGCAGGAACGAAAAGGUAUGGGUUAACACCCUGUGCCGAUGACGGUACCUGAAGAAGAAGCACCGGCUAACUACGUGCCAGCAGCCGCGGUAAUACGUAGGGUGCGAGCGUUAAUCGGAAUUACUGGGCGUAAAGCGUGCGCAGGUGGUUGUUUAAGACAGAUGUGAAAUCCCCGGGCUCAACCUGGGAACUGCGUUUGUGACUGGACAGCUAGAGUAUGGCAGAGGGGGGUGGAAUUCCACGUGUAGCAGUGAAAUGCGUAG